AGCGAACGCUGGCGGCAGGCCUAACACAUGCAAGUCGAACGAACUCUUCGGAGUUAGUGGCGGACGGGUGAGUAACACGUGGGAACGUGCCUUUUGGUUCGGAAUAACUCAGGGAAAUUUGUGCUAAUACCGAAUGUGCCCUUCGGGGGAAAGAUUUAUCGCCAUUAGAGCGGCCCGCGUCUGAUUAGCUAGUUGGUGAGGUAACGGCUCACCAAGGCGACGAUCAGUAGCUGGUCUGAGAGGAUGACCAGCCACACUGGGACUGAGACACGGCCCAGACUCCUACGGGAGGCAGCAGUGGGGAAUCUUGCGCAAUGGGCGAAAGCCUGACGCAGCCAUGCCGCGUGAAUGAUGAAGGUCUUAGGAUUGUAAAAUUCUUUCACCGGGGACGAUAAUGACGGUACCCGGAGAAGAAGCCCCGGCUAACUUCGUG
rnacentral:rRNA from 1 species